UGUCCCCUGCAGUGUUCGACACCCGCGGCAGCCUCCGUACCCUACGAACAUAAUAUACGGGAGGUGCAACCCGACCGGCCUCGUCCGAGCCGUGGCAAUGUACCGCCCACCUUAAUCCAGGAAAUACUGGAGCUCCAAAGCGGAAUCGGCACAGGCGGGGGAACU
rnacentral:other from 1 species